UCCUCAAGUUAGUCCAUGUUUACAGAAGUUCAGGAGUUCCCUUUGUGGCUCAGCAGAAAUGAAUCUGACUAGUAAUGAGGAUACAGGUUCGAUCCCUGGUCUUGCUCUGUGGGUUAAGGAUCUGGCAUUGCUGUGAGCUGUGGUGUAGGUCACAGAUGCUGCUCUGAUCUGGCGUUGCUGUGGUUGUGGUGUAGGCUGGCAGCUACAGCUCCUAUUCCACCCCUUGCCUGGGAACCUCCAUAUGCCAUGGGUACAGCCCUAAAAAAGCAAAAAAAAAAAAAAAAAAAAAAAAGUAAAAUGAAGAAGUUCAAAGUUUUAAUCUGAAGCAUUUAUUUAUCCUACACAUAAGGCUCUUGCAUUGAAGUCUCAAUUUAAGAGAGAUAUAGCUAUGACGUGAGUGUCUUUAAAGCUCAGUCCUGAGUCCUUACCUGCUGGUUGCUCAUGUGGAUGUUUUUUAGCUGCAUUUGUUGGUCCUCUUGGAAAUGGUAGGUGGAUUGUGAUUAGUUUGGAAAUUUUAAUCCUCAUGCUUGUCCGCUCACUGUGGUGUGGUCACUGUUAGAGGUUUGGUCACAGCCCUAUGUAGGACACUGAGCCACGGAAGCUCCGGAAGCACAGGCGUGGCUGUGGCCCUGCUCUCAGCACUGAAGGCUGGCAAUGUGCACCGGGCUGUGGGUGGUCUCCCACUCCUCCGCUCUGGGUGGGGGUAGGGGUCAGGCACCCUCCUCUCCACACUCUGUGUGCUGGGAGGGGACACCCAUGUGUGUCAGAUGAUCUUGGAGAAGAGCUCAAGAUGCUCCUGGGUCUGUGACCCCACUUGUCCUAAAUAAUUGAACAAUGAUCCUGCAAAAGUUUCUAGUUAAACAGCAGUUUGAAAGCAUUCUUAACAUUUUUAGGCUCAAGAAUCGUAUGAAAAGGCAAUGGAUAAAGCCAAAAAAGAACAUAAGAGAAGUAACCCAUCCCCUGCUAUUUUCCCAGAAUACCAGCUUUGGGAGGAUCACUGGAUUUGGUGCUCCAAGGAGUUGAACCAGUGGUAAGCCUUGACAGAGUACGGCCAGUCCAAGGGCCACAUCAACCCUUACCUCGUCCUGGAGUGUGCUUGGUGGGUGUCCAACUGGACAGCCAUGAAGGAGGCACUGGUAUAGGUGAGACGCCCUCCUGCCUCCCCUGGUGACUGGGCCAUGCUCAGGCUGCAGUCUCCGUAGCCGCGGGGGCCCUUUCGUCAAAGCCGUGCAUCUCCAGAGACUUCCCUUCACUGACCACAAGCCAGCCACUUUGGCAGAUGGAAGGUAGCUCUCAGGAGGCAAGAGUUGUUUUGUUUUGGUCAUCCCUAAUGUCCUUCCCUGAAUUCAGUGAAAUUAUAACUUAAGUCUUAGUGCAUCAUUCAGUUACAGUAAGAAUAUCAGCUGUGGAGACCUUGGCUUCUGGGAGAAAAAAAAUUAAUAAUGUCUGGAGGAAUGCAGACAUGAGAGGCAGUUUUGGAGGUGGUUGGGGAAGCGCUGCAAGCAUAGGAACAGCCCAGGGCCUGGACGGUAGCUGAUGUCACUAAGUUUGUUGCAUGAAGACGGUAUACUAUUUACUUAAAACACAGCUUGUGUUACAGAAGUGAUGAUAAUACGGCAUAAGUGAAGUUGAGUCAUCCACUUGGUUGAGCUCCACAAUUUCAGAAAUUAAACUCCAUCCAGAGGAGUUCUCAGAGUAGGAGAGUGGGCACCGAGGUACAGUGCCUGCUUCCCUGGGAAGCCUCUGUCAGGGGCUUUGGAAACUCUGUAACGGACGUGCGGCUCUGUUGUCUGUACCCCGCACACAGCAGAGCAUCCUCACCACCCUGGACCCUCGGGGCACAGUCGGUCCUGUUGCUCUUGGUUAUUUCCUGCAUCUCUGCCCUUCUGUCAUUUUCUCCCUUGGCCCCUUUUCUUUGCUACUGCUCUUCAGUUUUUGACCUUUUUUGUGUGGUGUCCACAUGACGGGGUUUAGGGAUUUACACCAUUGUCUUCUCACCUUCUCACCUCCUCCCCUUUACCCAGUAAGAGGUUUAUUUACAGUCGUACCAGUGAUCUUCCUCUUUUUCUUAAAGUGGAGACUCAAAAGCACAUUGAGAUUGGACUUCCCAUUGUGGCUCAGUGGUUAACAAAUCCGACUAAGAACCAUGAGGUUGUGGGUUUGAUCCCUGGCCUUGCUCAGUGAGUUAAGGAUCUGGCGUUACUGUGAGCUGUGGUGUAGGUUGCAGAAGCGGCUUGGAUCCUGCAUUGUUGUGGUUCUGGCAUAGGCUUGGCAGCUACAGCUCCAAUUAGACCCCUAGCCUGGGAAUCUCCAUAUGCUGCAGGUGCAGCCCUAGAAAAAGGCAAAAAGACCAAAAAAAAAAAAAAAAAACCACAUUGCGAUUAUAGGCUACUUUCUUUAAAAUGUUCAA
rnacentral:lncRNA from 9 species